GCGUAUCUCGCAUGGAGGUGUGUAUCUCUAUGGAGGCGUCUGCGAAGUGUGGUGUGUGUAGCAAUGUAGGUGUGUAUGUAUACUAGAAUAAGAUCCGAUUCUUCCUUGUCCUCUGACUUGGCCAAGUCCGUGCGCGCCCUGAAUACAAUAAGAAUUUUUUUUUUAUAUAGUGUCACACUAGACUGUCUAAAUCCAUUUUAGACGGACUCUAUAAAAUUAGAUGACAGACCCUUGGAAAAUAAAACAAAUAGAUAGACCCCCCCAUCCAUCUAGAUACCUCGACACCCCGUCACCCCACCGUCACCCCUUUCACAGUACCAGCAUAGUACUCACAUAGCACUACCACAUCUGUCAGCACACAUUCUCGCCAAGUACGCAUGCCCAGCGACCGGGAUCGAUCCGAUUCGCUCCUCUUCCAGCCAGGCUCCACACGAUUCGUGUGCAUACAAAAAGCACCAGCACAGCCUCGUUCGUCGUGCAGUGAGUGGGUGUGGGUGUGUCCCCUCCCACCCUAGUUGCAUGGCACAGCAUACCAACAUGCCUUUGCACCACCACCUUGCAACACGAGAGAGACCAUACAGCAUAUAACACACAGCACAGCACAGCACAACAUAACACAACACACUAACAUUAUUCUAUCCACUAGAUCGGG
rnacentral:misc_RNA from 1 species